UUAGGGUGUGCAAUCAGGCUACGACAAGAAAUCAGGGAUUGGAGGGGUAGAAGGGGCUGGGAGGGGCCGGAGGUUGGAGAAGGAGAGGAGGGGAGGGCCACUCGGCCACACCAUGGCACUGGAGGGGGCUGGGGCGGGCCUGCGGGCUGGGGCCGGGCCUCCACGGGGACGCCGACGGGCUGCGGUGGUGCGGGGGAGGCCAGGGUCAGGGGAGGGGGCGACACAGGAGAGGGGUGAGGAGAGCAGGGGAACAAUCCAAAGAAGAUAUUUGAAACCAUGCGCAUUGAAGUAAGGGCAACCAGCCGACGAAGAGCGUGAUUGUGGUGUUCUGGCAUAGACGCGAACGUGCCGCGCGUUCCCGCGGCCACAGAGAGUGCCCCCGCCGCGACCGCGCGGCCGCGAGUCGAGCGCGGCACAAGUAUCCGCCAGAACCACCACCAGCAGCGCCCUACGUCGUCCCGUUCCCAGUGAAAAUUUCAUGAACAAAAUAUUAUUCUGAAAACACUCACCCGUCCUGUUACAUGCCUAUGUCCUACGGGGGUUACAAAGGCUGGGAACAAGGAGCGGUGCGUUCUGAUUGGUCGAGUGACGUCACGACUACCGACACAUGUCGACGUCUCGCUUAACAGUGAGCGACACUAGGAGAGGGGGAAUGAGAAAGGAUCAUCUGCACUAAACUGAGUAGUUAUUAAGAUGAGACAUUUAAAGCGUACUGGAGUUCAUUUUGGUGACUUUUACGUUAAUGCAGUGUUAUGGCGCAACAGCGAGAUACACUUUUUGAUGAUUUAUUUCGGCGUGUAUCUUUCACUUAAUGUGCCCAUCAUGUGAUGGCAAUCAUUAUCCUUGGAAAGGGGUCUUUGAUGAGUUCGCUAUUAAUACUGAAGACUAAAUAUUAAGCUGGCUCCACUGUUCGUGUGAACAGAUCCCAGCUUGGACUCUACAGUACCUGCGCCACCGCGCACCGCGUCUGCGCACAAUUUUAUCGUGCUUUUUACAACAAACCUGUGAUUGGUCAGCCCCUAUCUUCCCUUAUUUCGGUCUCUCUAGACGUUCUAUCUCUAACUCGCGCAUUCAGAUAAUGUUCCAGGAACGUCAUUAGAGCCAGAGAACAAAAAUAUUGGCCUCUCUUCUUUCAUUCGAGCAAGCAGACCAAGGGAACAGUGGUGUUGACGCGCCCGUUGCCGUUCCCCUGCCUUCCCCGCCAACCAAUCCCAGAGCAGCAGGGCCCCGGGAGGCGUGGCUUCCGUAAUCGUACUUGGAGCCGCUUUUAUCACCCACCCUCGUGCCGUGAAAAUAUCGGGGGCCCCGAAGCUCCUCCCUUUCCUUCCCCGUCGGUUUUUCUCCUACCCGAGGCACAAUUUCAGUGAAAAGCGUGUGUCGCGCCCUCGGCCGGGUAGGACUCUAGCGGGUGUCAGUGUUUAGCAGCCGCGUCGUCGCCGCGCGUAGGUCCCCGACGGACCGCCCUCGCCUCGGCCCCGUCUGUGCCCCGGGGCCCCGCGACCGUGCUUAACUUCGCGUUCGCAGUCCCCAACACCCUGGAACCUAGUGCGUUCUACUUGUGCCCAAGACCCCGAGCCCCGAGUGCUGCAACGCUGGAGGCGAUCAACGCUCUCUGCCUGCUGUACGUUGUCGUCGCGGGGGUGCCAUAACCUCCUCAAUCCGUGUCCACGGCACCGAGUCAGCGGUAUCCUGCCACUCAGUGCCGAUAGAGGCAGGACUCCGUCUGCGUCCGUUGCCUGAAGUUGUAGCUCACAUUUGUAGGUUCGUUGAAAAAUUUUCCGUCCCGUUGCUUCGUGUGAGCAAGGGGACGCUUGUUGUCUGCUAAAAGUUUGUUUGCUUCACUCCACCUCAGUGGAAGUGUAUCAUCGCAUUUGACUUUCUAUCAAUAAAAUACGAACUAAACAGUAAA